GAGGCAAAACACACUCCGGGACUUGCUUAUCCCCUUCCUUCGCUCACGGAGGAGAGGGUGGGCGGCCAGCUAGGGGCUAGGGUUUUCUCCGCCGCCGCCACUUGCUAGGGGUUUCUCCCCGCCGCCGCCGCCCUGCCGGCAAAUUGAUCCGCCGGCCACUCCGCCGCCGCCGACGACCGCCGUGCCUCUGUCCCUCCGUCCCUCCCCCCGACCGGCCGGGGCGCGUCCGGCUCUAUCACCAGCGACACCCCGCAGUCACCCGCCUUCUUUCUUUCCAGAUGGAUCAGCUCAGUCAGUCGUUCGAGUUUGCUCGCAAAUCGGUCGUCUGGAUCUCGUUCAAGUGGGGUGGUCCGAAGCAGAGGCCGCAGAAACAGACUGUCGUCCUCCCGGGCAUCAUCGUCUCCAUCAAGGACGACGGAUCCACCUGCCUUGCCGUCGCGGACGCCACCUUCUUCAGCCAAAAACACUGCCCUUUCGUCGUGAAUCUGCCGAUUGCAGGGCAGAAAUACGAUACCGUGCCAGUGGCUUCUCCAUCGAUACAGUUCCUGGGGCCACGCUUGUGCACGUUGGUUCUUCAGCUGCGAGGAAACGAUUACGUGCGUCCGGUCACGAUCGAGAGCGCCUGUCCGGAUGUGCGAUGAUUUCAGUGCUUUUACAUUCCCACAGGAGGAUUUUCUCACGCCGGCGGUUAUUGGCCAGGAGAUGUCGUCUAUGGAAAGCAAGGGGACACAUUCAAAAUUGGCAGUGUUCCUUUCGAUUCAUAUGCUCAUUUCGGAGCGCCUCUGUUCAACACAAGUGGCUAUCUCAUUGGGAUCUCUUAUGCUCCCUCGGAUGCAUGGUCCGUGAGUGUCCUACGAGGAGCUGUGUUUAAGCAAGACAAAAUCAAGAGUGUAUUGGGCAGUGUUUCCUAUGUCCUGAACGGAAACCCGAUCCCGCCUGAAGGCCCAGCUCAACCCGUAAGCCCAACCCCACCCACCUAGGAGCAGUCUGGCAGGAGAUAGCAUCCCUACUCAGCAGCCAAUGGAAAAAAUACCAGCAUCCUCAGGCAGCUGCAACUUGGAGUUGACUGUUGCUAAUUGCAGCCUGGCUAGUACUCUAGUUGUUAAUUUAGCUUGUAUUGUUGAACAAUAUCACCUGACUUAUUAUCGCAGCCUAGUGUGCUUCGUUGCAUCUAGUUUCUGUUGUUGCACUAUCAAGUGACUGUUAACUGUUGCAGCCUAGUGUAACUGUCGGUUUCGUCUCUAUUGUUGAACCAUCUGGUGUCUUGUUGCUGCAGCCUAGCGUACUUGUGGAUUUAGUUUCUAUUGUUGAGCUAUCAUCAUGUGAUAUUGGGUGGAAUUUU